GGAAGGAAUUCCACCAUUUCAGUUUCAGUUGUCGUCACAGUUAGUACUGGGGGGAGUAUAGGUUAAGACUUAAGAGCAAGCGUUUUCAUUCUAGAAAUUCCUAUUUCCUAGUACUUUUAAAACCCUAUGGUUUUUCCAAUGUCUCAAAAAGCAAACUCAUAUCAAAUUAUAGUAUAAUUCUGAAGUCUGUUGAAAUUCUAAUGAGCAUAAUUGUUUGUUGGAGAAGCUUUACAUGAGUUUUAUCAGCCGACGAAUAUUUGUGCUGGCUUUCACAACAAAAGAAUUUGACUGUUCAGUAGCUGAAACUAAAGUGUAGUUUGAUUGGUUGUUGUAACAAUGUCAAAGACUUCCACCAUGGUAGUAAAAUGUGGGCUACACUCAUUUUAUUUAACUUCAUCUCAACAACGAAAGUUUUUCUCAGCUGAUCUCACAUGUUGUAGCUUCAACGCACAAGUCUGCUUGUACGGAAGACAGCAUAACCACCAAUAGUCUAACCAAAACAUCAAAUCUAACAGCUCAUGAAUCAGUAAGUUAGACUUGACCAUAUGUUUCAUACCAUACUGAUUGCAGUUGGAAUAUCAUGAAAUAAAUUGCAUCCAAUCAUUUGAAAGGUGUGGCCGGUAUUUUCGCUGUCGAAGGUGCCACAAAUGUUAAUUGUUUUGGAUCCGUGGUUGUUAGGCUACCACAUGCGUCUCUAUGAAGAAACCGAAAUGAAUGUCUUUUGUUACAAGACCGUCAUCAGUGUCGAAGGUUUUAUUGUAAGUUUCUUAUUCGUAACGUUUAGGGACACCGCAAAGAGUAUCAUUAAUCCACCUUUUAUGUAUGUAUUUAAGUACUUUAAGAAACCUGGGUUUGUAAUUUUAAAAUGUAGGCCGUCCAGGUAUUUUGGGAGGAGGUGGAGGGAUACUUUUAAGGGAAAUGUUUAAUUUUCAAUCAUACGUUUACUCAAGUACUCCUAUUUAAUCGACUUAGUUUGGUAAACGAAAAGCUCUUCCAUCGAUAUUCUUUAAUGAUUACCCUUAUAUUUUGUUCUUGGGGUUAUUUGGGGUUUUCAGACAACAAAAUCUAAUACUUUUUUCAGAGAGGUAGAUAAUAUAGUUUCUAUAACUUUUUUUUUCUUCUUCUCCUCCUGAAAUUGAAGAUUUUUCAGCCCUGAUCUGGCAACGUUCUAGCGAUAAUGAUUCUUACCUCUUUCCUUUAUUCCGUUUACUCUGUGGUUGUAGGUAUUACCACAGAUUGUGGUACUACCGUACUAGCAUGGUACUAGGCAGCAUUUACCACGUUAUGUUGUCUGAUGGGUCUUACGGUAUUUUAAAUUUGCAUAUGCAUGUUUGUAAACUUUGGCACGAUUCCGAUCCAUUUCCUUUAUAAAUCAGGAUACCACCUUUUUAAAAGUACAUUUCCCAUAUUCUACCAAUCGGAUAUCUUCGUGAUAGAACACAUUUUGGCAACCUACACGAAAGCGUCGAGUCUUUGUUGAAACUGUCAGUGCUUAAAUUAAAUUAUAUUUAUUUCUCGUCGUUGUUUUAAACGAUUUCAUAAACCUUGUCUUUUUGUCACUUGGUGUGCAUUUUUAUCGAAGUCGGUAAGUAGUACAAGUAUUUUUGUCCUGAACAACCAAUGGUGGUACAGUAAUCAUUUGGUUUCACCUAGAACAGCCAAUCUGACCUGUAGAAUUGGAAACAUUUUGUUAUCAUCCUAGGACUUGAAUUGUCAACAUUUGGCAAAGAAUGGGAAAGCUGCAUGUUUGAUAUUUCAACCAUGAUUAUAUCUGUUAUUGGUUGAACAUUGGACUACUAUUUUUAGCCCACACUUGUAUUUGGAUUUCUGGGAUGCUCAAUGUUGCUACAGAAAGUUUUUGCUAAUUCAUUCAACCCUUUCUGUACCUACUUCCAGUAGGAGCAUUGAGCUGCAGCCCACAUCCGGCAUCAAAAUGUUUGGGAGUGGAGUAUUUAAGUUGAACUACCUUCUUGAUCUGCUAUUAGACUUCUUUGUUCCUCUCUGUUAAAGGCAAAAUACCUUCAUAGUAAAUCAAUGUGUCAAGCUACUUUCUAAGGUUUUUAGAAAAAUUUUAAAUUUGUUGUUGUUGCAUAGAUUUGAACUUAAUCCUUUUCCGCAGUAUCCUGAAAUACUCACAAUAUGAUUUCCUUUUUGACAAGUUAUCUCUUGUCAAAAUACCAUUUUAUAAGAUUGUUUUCUUGUUUUGAAGGUAAACUGUAACACGAUAGGCAGUUAAGUUUAUCAAAUGGUUUUCCUACCAGUGGCGUGACAAUUGUGAACAGUUUACAAAAUAUAUCGAUAGAAUGAUUUUCAAA